rnacentral:misc_RNA from 1 species
GAAAUGCGAUAAGUAAUGUGAAUUGCAGAAUUCAGUGAAUCAUCGAAUCUUUGAACGCACAUAGCGCCCGCCAGUAUUCUGGCGGGCAUGCCUGUUCGAGCGUCAUUACAACCCUCAGGCCCCCGGGCCUGGCGUUGGGGAUCGGCGGAAGCCCCCUGCGGGCACAACGCCGUCCCCCAAAUACAGUGGCGGUCCCGCCGCAGCUUCCAUUGCGUAGUAGCUAACACCUCGCAACUGGAGAGCGGCGCGGCCACGCCGUAAAACACCCAACUUCUGAAUGUUGACCUCGAAUCAGGUAGGAAUACCCGCUGAACUUAAGC